rnacentral:rRNA from 1 species
UGGGGAAUCUUGCACAAUGGGGGCAACCCUGAUGCAGCGACGCCGCGUGAGCGAUGAAGCCCUUCGGGGCGUAAAGCUCUUUCGACCGGAACGAUAAUGACGGUACCGGGAGAAGAAGCUGCGGCUAACUACGUGCCAGCAGCCGCGGUAAUACGUAGGGACCAAGCGUUGUUCGGAUUUACUGGGCGUAAAGGGCGCGUAGGCGGCAAUUCAAGUCAGCUGUGAAAUCUCUGGGCUUAACCCGGAACGGCCAGCUGAUACUGCUUUGCUAGAGUGCGGAAGGGGCAAUCGGAAUUCUUGGUGUAGCGGUAAAAUGCGUAGAUAUCAAGAGGAACACCUGAGGUGAAGACGGGUUGCUGGGCCGACACUGACGCUGAGGCGCGAAAGCCAGGGGAGCAAACG